AUACGUAGGGAGCGAGCGUUGUCCGGAAUUACUGGGCGUAAAGGGCGCGUAGGCGGCGCUUCAAGUCGUCUGUCAAAUGGGAGGGCUUAACCCUUUUUCGCAGACGAAACUGGAGAGCUUGAGAAGCAGAGAGGCAAACAGAAUUCCUGGUGUAGCGGUGAAAUGCGUAGAUAUCAGGAAGAAUACCAGUGGCGAAGGCGGUUUGCUGGCUGCAUACUGACGCUGAAGCGCGAAAGCCAGGGGAGCAAACGGGAUUAGAUACCCCGGUAGUCCUGGCAGUAAACGAUGUAUGCUGGGUGUGAGACUAGCGAUAGUUUCGUGCCGGAGUUAACGCGAUAAGCAUACCGCCUGGGGAGUACGGUCGCAAGAUUGAAACUCAAAGGAAUUGGCGGGG
rnacentral:rRNA from 1 species